GUAAUGCCGGAUGCUCCAGUUGAUCGCAUGGUCUUCUGGGAAAGCUUUCGCGGUAUGGGAUGGGGUCGCGUCCUAUCAGCUUGACGGCGGGGUAACGGCCCACCGUGGCUUCGACGGGUAGCCGGCCUGAGAGGGCGACCGGCCACAUUGGGACUGAGAUACGGCCCAGACUCCUACGGGAGGCAGCAGUGGGGAAUAUUGCACAAUGGGCGCAAGCCUGAUGCAGCGACGCCGCGUGAGGGAUGGAGGCCUUCGGGUUGUAAACCUCUUUUAUCGGGGAGCAAGCGAGAGUGAGUUUACCCGUUGAAUAAGCACCGGCUAACUACGUGCCAGCAGCCGCGGUAAUACGUAGGGUGCAAGCGUUAUCCGGAAUUAUUGGGCGUAAAGGGCUCGUAGGCGGUUCGUCGCGUCCGGUGUGAAAGUCCAUCGCUUAACGGUGGAUCCGCGCCGGGUACGGGCGGGCUUGAGUGCGGUAGGGGAGACUGGAAUUCCCGGUGUAACGGUGGAAUGUGUAGAAUCGAAAAAAAACCCCCAC
rnacentral:rRNA from 1 species